UGCCAGCAGCCGCGGUAAUACGGAGGGUGCAAGCGUUAUCCGGAUUCACUGGGUUUAAAGGGUGCGUAGGCGGGUAUGUAAGUCAGUGGUGAAAUCUCGGAGCUUAACUCCGAAACUGCCAUUGAUACUAUAUAUCUUGAAUAUUGUGGAGGUUUGCGGAAUAUGUCAUGUAGCGGUGAAAUGCUUAGAUAUGACAUAGAACACCUAUUGCGAAGGCAGCAGGCUACACAUAUAUUGACGCUGAGGCACGAAAGCGUGGGGAUCAAACAGGAUUAGAUA
rnacentral:rRNA from 1 species